GACGAAAGCUGGCGGCGUGCUUAACACAUGCAAGUCGAGCGGAGCGGCGCACGGGUGAGUAACGCGUGAGUAACUGCCCCCCUCUCUGGGAUAACCGUUGGAAACGGCUGCUAAUCUCGGAUAGUGGGGGAUGACUCGCGUCCUAUCAGCUUGUUGGUGGGGUAGUUGCCUACCAAGGCGACGACGGGUAGCCGGCCGGAGAGGGCGACCGGCCACAUGGGGCUGGGAUACUGCCCGAACGCCUACGGGAGGCAGCAGUGGGGAAUAUUGGGCAAUGGGCGCAAGCCUGACCCAGCAACGCCGCGUGAAGGAAGACGGUCUUAGGAUUGAAAACUUCUUUAGACAGAGACGCGGUACCUGUAGAAUAAGCCACGGCUAACUACGUGCCAGCAGCCGCGGUAAUAC
rnacentral:rRNA from 1 species